rnacentral:pre_miRNA from 1 species
UCUUCUAGAUAGCAAAGACGGUGGUUUCUUGAGAUGGAAUAUGCCAUUGGUGAAGAUGCUGUGAA